rnacentral:rRNA from 1 species
UACGUAGGUGGCAAGCGUUAUCCGGAAUUAUUGGGCGUAAAGCGCUCGCAGGCGGUUUCUUAAGUCUGAUGUGAAAGCCCACGGCUCAACCGUGGAGGGUCAUUGGAAACUGGGAGACUUGAGUGCAGAAGAGGAGAGUGGAAUUCCACGUGUAGCGGUGAAAUGCGCAGAUAUCAGGAGGAACACCAAUUGCGAAGGCAGCUCGCUGGGACGUAACUGACACUCAGGGACGAAAGCUAGGGGAGCGAAUGGG